rnacentral:lncRNA from 1 species
GAGGCAGAGUCACUCAAAGUCUUUUGCCUCAUGCUUUCUUUCAGAGUCAUUCAAGCCCAGUGGGAAGACAAAAGUUAGAACAAUUGGCUGUGGCCCAGGAUGCAUAGGACAACUUUGGCCUCAAUGAUGUCUGGCCAUGCUCUUAUCAUUCCAUAGCACCUAUUUCAGCUGUUUUCAUGGAGAUUGGAACAAAUUGUUCUCAAUGACCUAUUCCACUCAAGGAAGUCUUCACAUGCCUGGGAAACCCAGAAUUUGACUAAACUCUUCAACACCAAGUUCCACAGUCACCAGUUGCACCAGCCCUAGUCUUCCUCAAGGAGCUACUGGCAGUACAAUGCAGAUGUCUUCUAGCAGUCCAUUUCCACGGGCCAGAAAAACAAAACAACAAAAUAACAAAAAUAAAGCAAUCACCCAGCUUAAGGAGUAAUAUUAU